rnacentral:rRNA from 1 species
UACGAAGGGGGCUAGCGUUGCUCGGAAUCACUGGGCGUAAAGGGUGCGUAGGCGGGUCUUUAAGUCAGGGGUGAAAUCCUGGAGCUCAACUCCAGAACUGCCUUUGAUACUGAAGAUCUUGAGUUCGGGAGAGGUGAGUGGAACUGCGAGUGUAGAGGUGAAAUUCGUAGAUAUUCGCAAGAACACCAGUGGCGAAGGCGGCUCACUGGCCCGGUAUUGACGCUGAGGUGCGAAAGCGUGGGGAGCAAACAGG